rnacentral:rRNA from 1 species
UACGUAGGGGGCAAGCGUUGUCCGGAUUUAUUGGGCGUAAAGAGCGUGUAGGCGGUUAGGUAGGUCCGUUGUGAAAACUCGAGGCUCAACCUCGAGACGCCGAUGGAAACCAUCUGACUAGAGUCCGGAAGAGGAGAGUGGAAUUCCUGGUGUAGCGGUGAAAUGCGCAGAUAUCAGGAGGAACACCAAUGGCGAAGGCAGCUCGCUGGGACGGUAGCUGACGCUGAGACGCGAAAGCGUGGGGAGCAAACAGG